GGCGGGCAGGCCGGGGGGCGCCGCGAGGGCGGAGCUGCGUUCUGCUCAGCACAGACCCGGGGGACACAGCGAAGGCAGAGCAGCGUUCUCCUCAGCACAGACCUUGGGAACACUGCAUCGCUUUGGGCAGAAUAGAUUACUGAUUUUGGGCACUCCAAGAUUUUGGGAGAGACCUCUCUCAUGAGAACUUUAUGUGGAACCCCUGCCUGCUUGGCUCCUGAAGUUCUUGUUUCUGUUGGGACUGCUGGGUAUAACCGUGUUGUGGACUGCUGAAGUUUAGGAGUUAUUCUUUUUAUCUGCCUUAGUGGGUAUCCACCUUUCUCUGAGCAUAGGACUCAAGUGUCACUGAAGGAUCAGAUCACCAGUGGAAAACACAACUUCAUUCCUGAAGUCUGGGCAGAAGUCUCAGAGAAAGCUCUGGACCUUGUCAAGAAGUUGUUGGUAGUGGAUCCAAAGGCAUGUUUUACAGCAGAAGAAGCCUUAAGACACCGUGGCUUCAGGUGGGUGUGGGACAGUGCCUGCUAGCAUAAAAUACGUGGGAAGCCCUGCUGCCUGAGAGACAUGAGACAGAGGACAGAAACAUGUUUACUUUGUUGAAUGUGUUUAAUUGUUUAAG
rnacentral:lncRNA from 1 species